rnacentral:rRNA from 1 species
UCCAGACUCCUACGGGAGGCAGCAGUGGGGGAUAUUGCACAAUGGGGGGAACCCUGAUGCAGCGACGCCGCGUGGGUGAAGGAGCGUUUCGGCGCGUAAAGCCCUAUCGGCAGGGAAGAAGGAGGACGGUACCUGACUAAGAAGCCCCGGCUAACUACGUGCCAGCAGCCGCGGUAAUACGUAGGGGGCAAGCGUUAUCCGGAUUUAUUGGGUUUAAAGGGUGCGUAGGCGGGAUGCCAAGUCAGCGGUCAAAUCCGGGGGCUCACCCUGCGUCCGCCGUUGAAACUGGCGUUCUUGAGUGGGCGAGAAGUACGCGGAAUGCGUGGUGUAGCGGUGAAAUGCAUAGAUAUCACGCAGAACCCCGAUUGCGAAGGCAGCGUACCGGCGCCCGACUGACGCUGAAGCACGAAAGCGUGGGUAUCGAACAGGAUUAGAUACCCGGGUA